rnacentral:snRNA from 1 species
GCGCUUCCUUUGGCAGCACAUACACUAAAAUUGGAACAAUAUAGAGAAGAUUAGCAUGGCCCCUGGGCAAGGGUGACACACAAAUUCGUGAAGCAUUCCAUAUUUUU